rnacentral:misc_RNA from 1 species
ACAAAUCCUGAAUUGUUGUUUGUGCAUGUGGGUGGGUGUUUAUGUGUGUGGGUCAUUUGAAGGAAAGGGAUUCAUUCUCAUUCAUUUGAUUUGAGUCUCCAUGUGCAUAUGCCACUCAUUAUUCACAAACAAUACACUCGUUCCAUGUGCAUUCACUUGUGCAUGACAACAUUUCUACGAAUCAUCUGAUUGUCACAUAAUCUAAUUUAUUAUUCAUAA